rnacentral:tRNA from 1 species
UAUUUGAUAGCUAGAAGCAGCUUAAUUUCGACUUAAGCAAUGAUUUAGUAGUGAAGUUCACAUCA